AUUGUAUUUUAGAGAGAUAACUUGUAUAUAUUAUAUUAUUUAUAAAAUCAGAAUAAUAAUUAGUAUUCUACAAUAUUAGUGAAUAAGAUUUCGUUUUCUAUGCUACAAAAAUUCUGCCAAAUUAUUACGAUAAAUGAAAAUUAAAAAUGGCCUCUAUAUAUUUUAUAUCUUUUCCGAAUUAUAUAAUAUAGUUUUGCUGAUGUAUAUUUCAUGAUAUCAAGUUAUUUUACUUUGACGACCGUUUUCGCUUUGAUGUUCCGCAUGCGAGAAACAAAAAUCAGCGGGAGAUUCGAUGACAAUCACCGAGCCCGGAUGUCUCUGCCUCCGUCGCAAGGUCUUUUAUCUUGCCGACAGAAGGCGCCGUCAUCGUCGAACCUCGCUGAUAAACAGCUACCACGCUACAUACCACAAACCACAAAGAGACGCGAGCCGUCAGCGACAACACGAGCGAAUCGUUCGGACGCAAAAUUCCCUUCAUCUUCAUUAGUUACAUUCCGUAUAUUUGAACGCGAAGAAUCCGCCGUUUGCGAAGAAAUUCAGUUUUGGUGAAUCUCGUGAGCACUCGAGAUUGAGGAAAAUCUCUGGGAAACUGGGACACAUUUCGGAGCCGUCGUUGCCGCAGCAGCAGCAGCAGAUUUUUUUGUCGUCGUAGAAGUUACCCGAAGAGAGAGAAUUCACGCGGAAGAUCUCGUAAAAAAAAUUGUGAACGAUAAAGUACCGCAUGUUGAACAACGCAUUUCAAACAACGUUAGAAUUUUCUCGGCAAACAAAAAGUGGCAAUCGAGAAAUUGCGUUCUCGAGAAGCAUUUGCAAAGCCAGCGCUGACAGACAUAUCGGCACCGUGUUGUGACGUUCACGGAACGUCAUCAGGAACAAAAGAGACAAAAUUGCCAUCCAGACUGAGCGCGCGCGCGGAAGAGAAGGAGCCUUCGAGGUCGCGGCGCGCGAAAAAGCACGAUAUCAGAGAUAACGCUUCGAAACUAAUUAAUCCGCGCGGCAAACAUACUGUUGCUCUUACGCCGUGUCUGUCGAGACGACGCUGCCAGUCGUGGCCGUCGGCCGUCAGUCGCGAUCUACGCCAAUUUGCUAACUACUGCAGCUGGUGUUCUUACCGCAUCGUUGAACACAUACGCACACACACACACACACACACACACACACAUACUUACGUACAAUUCUGUCUUUAGUGCAGAGCCUGAUCUCGGAAAGUGAUCGUGAAAAUUGUCAGCAUCCUUCGAAGAGAAGCAAGGGUCUGUCACGCAAUUCUUAUAUUCUCUUCUCAUACCAACAAAACUCUGAAACUCGAGACAGGAUAAAUCUUUAAUGAUCAUCUCGUGACAUCAUAAACUGAUAACUAGCGCAAAUACCUCACUUGGAAGCUGUUACUCCGAAUUUGACAUCGUCUCGUACAGCAGAGAGAUAAGUUAGUAACCGAAUAUCCGCGAGAGAGCAUUCAGACGGUUACGUGUGCACACAACCGCGGAUGAUAAAUCAGAAAUUUAAUUUAUUCGCGACGCAAAGUGAAUUUUCGCAUCAUCACAAUCCUCCAGGUGACGACUGUAAAUUGUGACGACUUGAAUUCGCGAAGCAACGUGAUCAGCACGAGACAACGUCGGUGGAUAAAGGAAUCGCGUCUCGUUGAUCAGCACUGAGUGCCACCAAUUGAGAGCCGACCCUCGACAGUGCAGCCCAUUGGCCAAGCUGUUAAUUCCUUGAGGCACGAUUGGAUCGGAUCACCCGCGGACAUUCCAGCAUUCGCGGUUGGGACUGCCAGGCAAUCCAUCGAUUACCGUCUCGCCAGCCGGACUUUGCUUCUUGAAGAAACUCCUAAAUCUUGCGUGUCACGAGGAUCUAACGAGAGACGCAAGGGAUUAACCACUUGGAUAUUUAGUGCGCAUGUUUACUGUGAAAUAUUUAUUACAUAACACGUCAAUUUAUUCGGGAAACGCGAAUCUCGCGAGAAGAAAUACAUCUUGCGGGACCGGUUACGUCGUCUUUUGUGAGCGGUGAAUAAAUUUUUGAAAACGAGGUUUCGUUAUUAAGGUGCUUCUUUGUCAUCGAUACCAUCUUUAAAGCAUCGCAACAGGUGAUACUUCGACACCAACCUAUAUUUGACACCAUCAAGAUACUAUCGACUGAAUGGCUUACUUCUAUUGGCUGCUGCUUUUCGAAAGACUCUGGUAGUGUCUUUGCACAAUAAUACAAUUGUCCUGAACAAGUAGAAACGGCAGGAUAAUACAAGUUCCGAACAAAUAGAAACACGUGGGAUUUUGUCGCAGAGAGGAUUAAAUUUUCUUUCGGUCCUGCCAGAGCCUUCGCUGAUUCUUCUUUCAAGAAACGGACUUUUCUUUUUCUUCCCGUCAUCGAAGAGAUUUAUUUUUUGGAGAACACGGCAGACGAAACUCGAGUUAUUGCUGACGUCAUUCGCGCAAGGCCUCGUUCUUCCUCUCUUCUGGUUCUUGUUUUAGACGGCACCAUGGAGCGAAGGAUCCUGAAAAUGUUGUGAUAACGAUCAGGCGAAGGCCUUCAUUAUCCAAGACACUAUCCAGUGUGUGAGCCAUAGUCGUUAGAAAGUCAUUGAGAUACAUAACGUGAUCUACACACGUAACGUCAAGCCUGUGAUCGGGCAUUUUGACGACAGUUGCCAAUCGCUUGAUAACUCUCGAAUUUUCACGCGAAGCAGCGAAGAGAGUUUACUCUUUUUUUUUAAGAGAGUCAUAUUUCUGUUUUUGAUCGCCAGUUUUCCAAUAAGCGCAAAUUUGGAAUUAAUUACACAGAUUCAAGAGAAACGUAAGUUGUGAAAACACACAUUGGGAUUUUGGAUCUAUUUCUCUCACUACAAAAAUCUUGAUAAGACAUCAAUCAAGGCAUCACGUAGAAGUAUCUUCGUCUACAUACCUCGGGCAUGUUUUUGGAUCUACGAUACUGACGUUCUUCUUCUCUUCUGUUUCUCGUCAUAUCCUGACGACAUCUCUUUGAUUUGAGUUUUACGCGAGGAGGACACCAGAGACGAAGGAAGACAUCGCUCGUUAAACCGUAGA